GUAGCUUAUUUUGCACAGGACUAUACAUUGAAUGGAUUUUUGGAACAGGGAGAUGGAAUAGGAGCUUGCUCCAUCCACUCCACACAUUGACCUGGUAUUGCAGUACCUCCAGGAACAGUGCACCUCCC
rnacentral:snRNA from 1 species